GCACAACCAUGGUGGGAGAGGAGAAGAGCGGGAGCUGCCUCUGUUGACAGAGCAUUCAAGAUCUACUAAUGCGACAGAAAGGAAAUCUUGGAGCGCACAUUCUUUCUUAUAAGCUAUGGUGGUGAACGGACGUGGCAGACCUCUACACACUCCGUCGUGUUCUUGUUGGGCACGAUGUUGAGUGACGUGACAUCCCGG